AGAGUUUGAUCCUGGCUCAGGAUGAACGCUGGCGGCGUGCUUAACACAUGCAAGUCGAACGAGCCUUCGGGCUAGUGGCGGACGGGUGAGUAACGCGUGAGAAUCUGCCCUCAGGAGGGGGAUAACGGCUGGAAACGGCCGCUAAUACCCCAUAUGCCGCGAGGUGAAAUGAGAAAUCGCCUGAGGAUGAGCUCGCGUCUGAUUAGCUAGUUGGUGGGGUAAGAGCCUACCAAGGCAUCGAUCAGUAGCUGGUCUGAGAGGAUGAUCAGCCACACUGGGACUGAGACACGGCCCAGACUCCUACGGGAGGCAGCAGUGGGGAAUUUUCCGCAAUGGGCGCAAGCCUGACGGAGCAACGCCGCGUGAGGGAUGAAGGCCUCUGGGCUGUAAACCUCUUUUCUCAAGGAAGAAGAACUGACGGUACUUGAGGAAUAAGCCACGGCUAAUUCCGUGCCGGCAGCCGCGGUAAUACGGGAGUGGCAAGCGUUAUCCGGAAUUAUUGGGCGUAAAGCGUCCGCAGGCGGUCUUGAAAGUCUGUUGUUAAAGCGUGGAGCUCAUCUCCAUUUCAGCAAUGGAAACUAGAAGACUAGAGUGUGGUAGGGGCAGAGGGAAUUCCCGGUGUAGCGGUGAAAUGCGUAGAUAUCGGGAAGAACACCAGUGGCGAAGGCGCUCUGCUGGGCCAUAACUGACGCUCAUGGACGAAAGCCAGGGGAGCGAAAGGGAUUAGAUACCCCUGUAGUCCUGGCCGUAAACGAUGAACACUAGGUGUCGGGGGAAUCGACCCCCUCGGUGUCGUAGCCAACGCGUUAAGUGUUCCGCCUGGGGAGUACGCACGCAAGUGUGAAACUCAAAGGAAUUGACGGGGGCCCGCACAAGCGGUGGAGUAUGUGGUUUAAUUCGAUGCAACGCGAAGAACCUUACCAGGGUUUGACAUCCUGCGAAUCUUUUGGAAACAGAAGAGUGCCUUCGGGAGCGCAGAGACAGGUGGUGCAUGGCUGUCGUCAGCUCGUGUCGUGAGAUGUUGGGUUAAGUCCCGCAACGAGCGCAACCCACGUCUUUAGUUGCCAGCAUUGAGUUGGGCACUCUAGAGAGACCGCCGGUGAUAAACCGGAGGAAGGUGUGGAUGACGUCAAGUCAUCAUGCCCCUUACAUCCUGGGCUACACACGUACUACAAUGCUACGGACAGAGGGCAGCAAACUCGCGAGAGCUAGCAAAUCCCAUAAACCGUGGCUCAGUUCAGAUCGUAGGCUGCAACUCGCCUACGUGAAGGAGGAAUCGCUAGUAAUCGCAGGUCAGCAUACUGCGGUGAAUACGUUCCC
rnacentral:rRNA from 1 species